ACACACAAAAAAAAAAUUUAAAACAUUGAUUCUUAUCUGAUCACCGAAGUUAAACAAUAUUGAGCCCGGUCAGAACUUGGGAGGGUGACCAUUUGGGAACAUGGGUGAUGAAGGCA